UUGCAAUGCAAAAGCAGGGACAGUCCUGUCUUUGCAAGGCAGCUGCUAAGACCUAGGAGGGAUGCUGCCUACCCUUGUUGCCACCGACAGAACCAUAAAGAGGUGACUUCUCAAAGAUACAGCACUUGCAGUACUCUCUAUCUGAAAGCAAAGAAAGGGAAGAUGAGGGAAAUAAUUUCUUCAGUUAAGUAUUUCCCUGGAAGAAAUUGGAAGAAGCACAUUUCUACAACAGCUAACUGUUGAGCAAGAAGCAACAAAAAAGAGCAACUGCCAAUGUUUUAGCCAAGUCUAUCAGCACCCCAAGUCUGGGCUGCUUGUUAUAAUUCAAGUGCAUGUUUUAAUAGGAGUAAAGCCACGUUGGUUUGAAUGCACUGAAUGUCAGUAAAUCCCAAACAGAACUUCCUGGCUGUGGGCAAACACCAGCCUUGACUUGGACUCUGGUGAAAUUGCAUUUGAUCAUCACAUUCUAAUGCCUUUAUGAAUGAACUUGGCAUGCCAGGGUGUAGGAACACAGCCUGGCUCCUCCCUAGGACUCCUGUCUUGUCUUGCUUGAUUGUCAAGAGACAAAGAAGGUUUCUGGAGUGGAAUCUGGGACAAAAUCUCUCCCUGCACCUUUAGAGCCACUAAUUCCAGACCCAACA